UCGCGAGAGUAGAGCACUGCUCUCUAGGCAAAGCUGUCAGUGAAGGUAUUGAGAAGGGGGUUCCGAAUGACUGAAAUCGUCCUCCUUCGGUUCUUGUAAAACUGCGUGAAUGGUUCGACUUGUGCUUUCCUAGUGGUGAAUUCAGAACCUGGAAAAGCCUUAAAAACACGCGUUUAUAAGCCGAACUGCAGCGGGGAAACCGAGUGUUAUCCAGCUGGCUAACAAUACAAUAACAGGCAAAUGGCGUUGAAAAGGAUCCAGAAGGAGCUGACUGAUCUACAGAGGGAUCCUCCUGCCCAGUGUUCAGCAGGACCAGUGGGAGAAGACUUGUUUCACUGGCAGGCUACGAUAAUGGGGCCGAACGACAGUCCUUACCAAGGCGGCGUCUUCUUCCUCACCAUCCACUUCCCUACAGAUUACCCCUUUAAACCGCCCAAGGUGGCGUUUACGACAAAAAUCUACCAUCCCAACAUCAACAGUAAUGGCAGCAUCUGCCUCGAUAUCCUGCGCUCGCAGUGGUCUCCUGCACUCACCGUCUCGAAAGUUCUGCUCUCCAUCUGUUCCCUGUUAUGUGACCCGAACCCUGAUGACCCUCUGGUGCCCGAGAUCGCACACACGUACAAAGCCGACAGAGAAAAAUACAACAGACUAGCGAGAGAAUGGACGCAAAAGAGAACGAGCGAGAGAGUGAAAGAGGUAAAUAUGGAUCAACACCGACGCCAUGCUUUGUCUGGGAGGAAGCAGAGAGAGCGGAGAGACCCGAGAACAUCACCGCAUGCCGGCUGUACGCCCAUAACUCGGAGCCGCGCCCGGAAACACGCACAGCCCGGAAAAACUAUCGGGACAAACACAAACCAGGGAAAAACAAGACUUUUUAUUUUUCCCUGACUAUUACUUCGAUGGCACGUUGUUUCUGAGUGUUUCGCGGGGUCUCUGAACAACCAGGUGAAAUGCGGCGCUCACGUACACACCGUUUUCUCUCCGGGCAUUUCCUGUACAUAUCACGUGCGCGAACGUGUGUGGGUUUUUCUCUCUCUUUUAUUAAUUUAUUUUUUGGUUCAGCAGUUUACACUCAGGGGCACGGUACGUUUCAUAACUCAUUACAGUAUUAACAACACUACUGUUCCUCUUCAAGUCGAACCUCCAGAUCUUUAAUAUUUAAAUUAUUAAAACAGAUUGUCUGUGUUACAGAAGCCGGGAUGGGACUCGGGAGCGUCUGUAUGUGUGUCCCGUUUAAUCCGUAUCACUGCAAAGGGUCGGAAAACACCCAUGUCCUCAUCCUCUCUCAUUUACCACCAACUGCUCAUAUUAUUGCCCCAAAAACACUCACGCAUGGUGUCCCAGACGACACUUGGGCUUCUCGGGGCGGGGGAGGGGCGAGUCGAUUCGAGGCCAUGGAUCGUACUUUUGUCCGUCAUUUUCAACACGUCCGUCCAUCAGGAAAAAGUCUCGGAGCAACGCGAGAGCUAAAGCAGGACUGAGUUUAUAUAAGAUAUAAAUAUAUACACUACAUGGGGAAAAGUUUGUGGACACCUGAGCAUAAGAUCCCAUAUUUCAUCCCUAUUUGCUGUUCUAAUAAACUUCUGAGAUGAUGUUCCAGUAGACUUUUAUGGAGAUGUUUGUUGUUGAACUACGAGUGCUAGUAAAGUCAGGUACUGAUGUAAGUGAGGUGACUUUGUUCUUCUGGACCCCUGAAUUCCUAGUAGUAGAUUAAUUAGAUGUUUGAGGUUUCUGUGGGUUGGUGGAUUUGUUUGUUUUUGAAUUUACUUAAUCAAAUCCAGGACCGUGAGCUCUGUCUCGAUCUUCGCACUACUCGAUUUGACGGAGGUUUAAUAACUCGCAGACGAGAUCACUCCAGACUAUUGAGGCUGGGGUCUAAAAGCUUCAGAAGAAAGCGUCGCUGCUGGUCGUCACCUUCUAGCCUGUGUGAAGGAUCUGAUAAAACCCUGGUCUUCUUUUUGCUCUAUUUCGUGUAAUUAAAGCCGUAUAACGGAGGAUCGUUCCUCAAGAGAACUUUUAAUGAGCCCUUACUCACUCCCUGACGGCUCCUCCACUUCCCGAUAUCCCAGCCUGACCUCACCCAGGAUGAGAUCUUCACUAAGGAGAACAGCAUGGGAAUGAUGUGAUGGUCAGGAGUUCACAAACUUUUGGGUUUGAAGCUUUGUUUUCUAACAGCGUGCCUUCAGAGUUUAGAGGUUUUUUUUUUUUUUUUUGGAAUUGUUUCUUGAAUGUAUUGUUUUUUUUUCCUUUCUCGGUCUCGAGAUUCACUGUGUCAUUGUUCACUCUAGAUUUAUUGUUGGAGUUGUAUUUAUUUAUUUAUGUUUAUAUAUAAAAAUAAUCCUAACCCUAGAUCUACACUACUAAACCAUCAGAACUGACGUUUUUCUUUCAUCUGGGUUUCGGAACUCAAACCAGCCCUGGAACGGAUCACAGUUUUUACUCUUCAUACAACCUUAUCAGGGAUCUCCUUCUCCAUUCUCCACACUCUCGCCUCUCCUCCUCCUCCUCUUCCUCCUCCUUCUCCUCAUCAUCAUCGUUCACAUCCAGCCUUAACCAUCACAACCUGAACUGUACUGUAAUAUUUUAUUUUUUUGCCCUUUGGGAUAGAGAGUGGUAUACACACACACACACACACACACACACACACACACUGAGCCAUGCUAACCUCUCCUAAAAGUGUUUUUACGCUGAACACAACGUUCUCCUCGAGCUCCCUGAACUGCUGAAAAGAACCUCAGAGGUGUUGGCAUUAGUGAAUAAAAGCUCCUAUAGGUUUUA